UACGGAGGGUGCAAGCGUUAUCCGGAUUCACUGGGUUUAAAGGGUGCGCAGGCGGGCUAUUAAGUCCGUGGUGAAAUCCCGGGGCUCAACCCCGGAACUGCCAUGGAUACUAUUAGUCUUGAAUGUUGUUGAGGUGGCGGAAUAGGUCAUGUAGCGGUGAAUGCAUAGAUAUGACCUAGAACACCGAUUGCGAAGGCAGCUCACUGGACAAUAUUGACGCUCAGGCACGAAAGCGUGGGGAUCAAACAGG
rnacentral:rRNA from 1 species